rnacentral:rRNA from 1 species
GACGAACGCUGGCGGCGCGCCUAACACAUGCAAGUCGAACGGAGUUAUUUUCUUCACUCCGAGCUUUUUGCCAGUUAGCCGGAGCGGCAAUCGGUUUUGCCCAGCAUAAAAAGCAAAACCGAUUUAGGCUCAUAAAGUAAGGCUAACACAGAGGGCAGAGAGUUGGGAGUGAAGAAAAUAACUUAGUGGCGAACGGGUGAGUAACGCGUGAGUAACCUGCCCUGGAGUGGGGGACAACAGUUGGAAACGACUGCUAAUACCGCAUAAGCCCACGGCCCGGCAUCGGGCUGCGGGAAAAGGAUUUAUUCGCUUCAGGAUGGACUCGCGUCCAAUUAGCUAGUUGGUGAGGUAACGGCCCACCAAGGCGACGAUUGGUAGCCGGACUGAGAGGUUGAACGGCCACAUUGGGACUGAGACACGGCCCAGACUCCUACGGGAGGCAGCAGUGGGGGAUAUUGCACAAUGGGGGAAACCCUGAUGCAGCGACGCCGCGUGGAGGAAGAAGGUUUUCGGAUUGUAAACUCCUGUCGUUAGGGACGAUAAUGACGGUAC